rnacentral:rRNA from 1 species
AGUGAACGCUGGCGGCAGGCCUAACACAUGCAAGUCGAGCGGCAGCGGGUUCCCGCGAGGGGAUGCCGGCGAGCGGCGGACGGGUGAGGAACACAUCGGAAUCUGCCUGGUUGUGGGGGAUAACGUAGGGAAACUUACGCUAAUACCGCAUGCGACCCUGAGUCGACGGACUGGGGGUGAAAGUGAGGGACCUUCGGGCCGUCACGCGACCAGAUGAGCCGAUGUCGGAUUAGCUAGUUGGCGGGGUAACGGCCCGCCAAGGCGACGAUCCGUAGCUGGUCUGAGAGGAUGAUCAGCCACACUGGGAC